UUGAAAGCCCUAAACAAAACCUACGACCACGACCAAUCUUUCUAUCAUUACCGUGUUAAAUGCUUAUAGAACAUAAUAGUUAUUUCUUUUUGACAAUGCUGACGCUUCUUUCUUCUUCUUCUUCUGCUGCUGCUUUU
rnacentral:sRNA from 1 species